AUUAAAGUUAUAUUUGGUGCUGGUCAGACCUCAUCUAUAUUAUGCUGUGCAGUUCUGGUCCCCCAUAUUACAGGAAGUAUAUAGGUCUUUUAGAAUCAAUACAAAGGAGAAUGGCUAAAAGGAUACAAGGAGUGAGGAGUAUUCCUUACAAAGAGAGAUUGAAGCUGUUAAAUUUACAUUAAGAGAGAUGUAGGUUAAGAGGGGACCUGAUAGAAGUCUUUAAAUGCUAUAAGGGUUACAACACAGGGGAUGUAAGCAAAAUUCUUAGGAUUAGUAACCAGGAUAGAACAACAAAUAACAGUUUUAAGCUUGAAAAAUUUAGUUUAAAAAAGAGAUAUGAAGGAAUCAGUUCUCAAAUAGAGUGGUAGAUGAAUGGAACGGACUCAGUAAUCAGGUUGUUGGUGCUGGGUCAUUAGGAAGCUUUAAGAGAAAAUUAGAGAUUUAUGGAUGGGGAUUGAUAGGUGGAAAUAGGUAAGUAUAUUUCAUACAGGAACUGCCACAUGUAUGCCUGAUGGUUUCUUGCAGCUUCCAUUUUUUAUGUUCUUAUAUUCUUAUGAGUAUGUAUCUUGAACCUGAGAUAUUAUGCUUGUCUUAUUAUCACAGGGAUAUUGAUCAUAGAAAAGAAACACUCAUCUUUUGUACUUACAUUUUUUUUUUUUUUUUUUGUGAAUGUGAAAGAAAAUGCCCUGACAGAAUUAAUUUAUCUUUUUAAGGAACAUAAUGAAAAAAGUUAUAUUUCCAAUUGUCAUGUUUGGGUUAACUAUAAUUAGCCUUAGUUUGUGUUGGCUACACACACUGGAUCAUGUGUGUUGCUGCUGUGAUUAUUAAUGAGUGUAAUUUCCAGAAAUGUGAUUUCAGUACUCUCCUAGCAAGUCAGUUAAACACACAUGAUUUAUUCAAAGCAAAAGACUAUUCAGUGUGUUUGAAGACUACUUGAUAUUGAUAAUAAAACCCAUCUUAAUGCUUACUUUCAGGUUUUUUUUCUGAUUUUAUUUUCAGACAAGGAUAUGUUCACAUUGUUGUUGUUGUUGAGGAGAAACUGUUGUUCUUAGUGAGCUAUGAAAGCCCUGACCCAUUCAUAGCUAUGAAUGUUCCAUGGUUCUCAGUUGCGAAUGAUUUUGCUUUAAAAAAUUACCAGCACUAAGAUGUUCAUAGCCCACUAAGAUAAAUCUUAGAAACAUCUGGGAAUGUGGCUUCUGGCUCCUCAGGGGUAUGUUGUUGUCCGUCAUAAUAAUGAAAGGCUUAUGUGUUGUGUAAAAGUAAAAUUAAGAUAGCAGCCUGUUAUUUAUGGAUAGCAAGCAGGCUGGAGGGAGGGAGAGUGUGAAGUGUGUGGGUGUCGUGGUGGGGAAGUGUCUCAGUGUGACACGUGAAUCACUGCACGAGCUGUCAUUGGCUGACUCUUCUCGUGCUGCUGUGGCGAGGGAGUUAUUCUCUCUGGCCCCAGCAACUGAUAGCUAUCACUCAAGCGUGACAAAAAGGUUCUGUGGAUAAUUUCACUUGGAUGGAUUUUGACCCUAAUGUGGGGUCCAUUCUGAUGUCUGCACUCUCUCUCGUCAUGUUAGGAAGGUUGGGGAUGACAAUGCAAUAAAAUAGUAAUUUUGACCACAAGGGCACUUAGAUCACUCUGGCUCUGGGAACCUCAUAUAAUAUCUGAUGCAAUAUGAUCAUAGGAUAGUGCAAUUAAUUUUUUUUUUCCCCCUUCCCCCCUUUUUUCUUUUUUCUUUUUUUUUUUACCUAGGAGGGACACUGGCCAUGGGCAACAAAAAUCCAAUAAAAAAAAAGCCCACUGUGAUGCUAGUUCCAGAAAAGGGUCCAAACCGGUAGUCAAAAAUUAAAGGAUAAGUGUCUUGAAACCUCCUCCCUCUUGAAGGAAUUCAAGUCAUAAGAAGGUGGAAAUACAGAAGCAGGAGGUUCUGGAAUGUAACUCCCACAGAUGGCAGGGAAACACUGCAUAUCUUCCCUCCCACAACAGCGAUGCACUUAAUGAAUUGGGCCAAGAUAAUUAGUGAAAGCUUUCUGUGUUAAAGAGAUGCAGCUAGUGGGCCAAUAUAUAUACUGAUCGUUCAAUUAAUCCUUUAUGUCAUAAAACUUCUCUGAAAAAAUCUAGUGAAUAAUUUUUCCUCUCUCACUGCACUGUCCUUGAUCUAAAUUACAUAUUAAAACUACACAUGAUAGUGUAAUGAUCAGUAUGCUUGGCUCACAAACCAUAUAUAUAUAUAUAUAUGCUUGGCUUUGUCUCCAAACUCUCCCCCAUAGAGAGACUGUAUUAACCUGCAGAAAUAAAGCUAUCAUUCAGGGAAACUGGUUUGUUUGCCAAACAAACAUUACAUUGCUGAAUAUUCUGUGGCACCAAAUGCUUUGUCAGGAAUUGUGGCAAUGAUAUUUCAAUCCUUGUCUUUGCAUCCUACAAUUUGUAUGCUGAACAUAAACCUUAUCAACAAG